UCUUUCGAAAGUAAAUCGCUAUAAUUUAAUAAUUGUUUCUCUUCAUAUUGGCAUAUUGUAGCAGUGAUGAUAGUGAUAUGGAAUUAUUUCAAAUGAUAAUGGAUUGUGAUGCAGAUAGUGAUAGUGAGGCCGAUAUCAUAUGGUUAGGAAAAUAAAGAUCGUCUGAAUUACAUGGCGAAGAUCAAUAAUUACGAAUUUGACUAUAGAUUUCUGAGCAAAGGUGUUGUGAAUGAAUUGAUUAAUUUAAUGAGACCAUAUUUGAGUGUAACGUCAAAAAGAUUCAAAUAUAGGAGAGGAAUUUAGAAAUAGAAAAA